rnacentral:miRNA from 1 species
AGCCUCCCAUACCGUUCCAUC